UGAGGAAUAUUGCGCAAUGGGGGCAACCCUGACGCAGUGACGCCGCGUGAGUGAUGAAGGCUUUCGAGUCGUAAAGCUCUGUUAGGUGGAAAGAAACAUCCCGGCGCUAAUAUCGUCGGGACUUGACGGUACCACCAGAGGAAGCACCGGCUAACUCCGUGCCAGCAGCCGCGGUAAUACGGAGGGUGCAAGCGUUGUUCGGAUUUACUGGGCGUAAAGGGCGUGUAGGCGGUUGGCUAAGUCAGAUGUGAAAUCCCUUGGCUUAACCAAGGAACGGCAUUUGAAACUAGCUAACUAGAGUACAGGAGAGGAAAGUGGAAUUCCCAGUGUAGAGGUGAAAUUCAUAGAUAUUGGGAGGAACACCGGUAGCGAAGGCGACUUUCUGGUCUGAUACUGACGCUGAGACGCGAAAGCGUGGGUAGCAAACAG
rnacentral:rRNA from 1 species